UCUAAAGUGUUACCUUUAUUUUAUCUAUCGGUCUUCUUUUUAUUUAAAAAAAAAAACACACACACAUUUGACCCUCUAUCAAUUGAAUAGUUAUUCUCUAACUGCUAGCUUUUCUUGUAAAACUAACACUAGCUUUCUUUUUUCUAUUCUACUUGUUUCUUAUCUUAAAAAAAAAAAAAAACGUUUUAUGUGUACUGCGUUAGGCUAACCUAGACUAGUUGCAUGUUGCUGCUCUUUUGUUGGUUUUGAUUGCUUCUAAUGUCCUCAUUUGUAAGUCGCUUUGGAUAAAAGUGUCUGCUAAAUGACUAAAUGUAAAUGUAAUGUAAAUAAUACUUUGAGCUGCAUGAUAAAUCAGUAAAAGUGAGAUGUUGUAGAGUCUCUUCUUUUCUCUUAAUGACAUUAAUACUGCAGCUGAACAUCUGUCAGUGAAAUAUCAUGUCAGCAUAAAUGUGUGCAAUAAAUCCUCAUAUAGACAGUAAGAUCAGUGUGUGUGUGUGUGAGUACUGAACAAGCACUGAACAACUUUUUCCACAAUGGAUUGGAUCCUACCAUAGGACAACAGAAGAAAGAAAACAACAAAAACCUGCCAAUACAUGUACAGUAUGUCAGUGUGUAUGAAAUAUGGUACUCAUUCCUUUGAAAAGUUUAAUGAUUACAGCUUGAUACAUAUAGGCCUGGUUUCACAGACAGGGCUUAGACCAAGCCAGGACUAGGCCAUAGUUCAAUUAGGACAUUUAAGUAAUUUUUAUAAACGUGCUUAGAAAAAAACUUUACUGGUGUGCUUUUUGAGACAAAACAAAGGCACUGAUAUAUUUUAAGAUCAGGCAGUGCAAGUUUCUUUCAGUAGAAAUAGCUCAGACUUACAUUUUAGUCUAGGACUAGGUUUAAGCCUUGUCUGUGAAACCGAGGGGUAAUGUUUAACUUUUCUUAUGCUUUUUUGUUAUUCAGAUAUUUUGCUGGACAGUGUGGUGGAUCAGAGCCGUGAGUCCCAUUGACUGACAUUAUAUGACUGACAGACUGCAACGGUUUGAGUUAAAAAUCUUCAUUUGUGUUCUACUGAAGAAACAAAGUCACCUACAUCUUGGAAGCUCUGGGGGAGGAUCCAUCCACGAAUCUCUCUUGGUCUUACUGUCAGCCCUCUCUAAGCUCCGUCCCCUCUUCCUGAGCCUGACUGACGUGCUGUUCUCCAAUCCCGCCGGCAGCGGCUCGGCUGUCAGCU